rnacentral:piRNA from 1 species
UUUCGCGCGGAAUCAUUUGGA